rnacentral:rRNA from 1 species
UGGGGAAUAUUGCACAAUGGGCGAAAGCCUGAUGCAGCGACGCCGCGUGCGGGAUGAAGGCCUUCGGGUUGUAAACCGCUUUUAAUUGGGAGCAAGCGAGAGUGAGUGUACCUUUUGAAUAAGCACCGGCUAACUACGUGCCAGCAGCCGCGGUAAUACGUAGGGUGCAAGCGUUAUCCGGAAUUAUUGGGCGUAAAGAGCUCGUAGGCGGUUUGUCACGCCUGGUGUGAAAGUCCAUCGCUUAACGGUGGAUCUGCGCCGGGUACGGGCAGGCUAGAGUGCAGUAGGGGAGAUUGGAAUUCCCGGUGUAACGGUGGAAUGUGUAGAUAUCGGGAAGAACACCAAUGGCGAAGGCAGAUCUCUGGGCUGUUACUGACGCUGAGGAGCGAAAGCAUGGGGAGCGAACAGGAUUAGAUACCCUGGUAGUCCAUGCCGUAAAACGGUGGAUGCUGGAUGUGGGACCCUUCCACGGGUUCCGUGUCGGAGCUAACGCGUUAAGCAUCCCGCCUGGGGAGUACGGCCGCAAGGCUAAAACUCUAAAGUGAAUUGAC